rnacentral:lncRNA from 1 species
AUAAGUAUUAGGUUGUUUUUCACUUUCGCUAUUCAGGACUUUUUUGGUUCACCUACGAUUAUAAAAUCGAAAUAAAAUUCAUUCAUUUUAAUAGUUGUUGUUUAUUUUACAUAGAUUAGAGUUCGAUUUUCAUUCCAUUUUGGAAUAGAAAUGAUCAAAUCUAACUUUGAAUUUUGAGUUGGCCUAUUCUAUAGUAAACCACUGGAACCCUCUCCCACAAGUACCUCCUCUUCCUUCAUCACUCUUUUCUUUCUAAAUCAAAAUCUAGACGUCACAUACACGGAGAAGAGAUACAGAACACGAUACAAUUCGAACAUGGCGAUUCAAUAGUUUCCAAAAUUAGGAUACGGAUAUAGAGAUAAUAUGAAUAUCGCUAAUAAACUAUAAAAUUAUUAAUAUAAAUAUAUAUAUAUUAUAUUUAAAAUAUUAAUUUUACUAAAAUACUUUUAUAUUUCUCGUAUGAAUUAAAGUUAAUAACAUUCUCAUUGAUAAUUUAUACAAUUUUAGAAAAGAAAUUCUUUACUAUACAUAAUUUAUUUAUAUUGUUCAAAAAAAUUUUAUAUCCAUUUAUUAAAAAUUUAAAAUGUUUAUUAUCUUACAUUGUAUAUGCAUAAAAAAGUAAUAUAUAUAUAUAACAUGGUGCUUGUAAAAGCACCAAGUACUUGGUGCUUUUAAAUUUUUUACCGUUAGAUCUACAUUUUUUAUCAUUUUCAACCGUUAGGUUAUACUAUUCAACCAACCACAUACUCAACCCUAGAGAGUCCACAUCAUCCUAACCGCACAUCUCUUAAUCUAAUGGCCAAAAAUCUACAAGCACCAAUAACUUGAUACUUUUAAAUACUAAAAUAAGUCCGGAUAUUACAUUAUUCCAUAUCUCAAUAUAUAUCCAAUUUGUAACGCAAAAAAUAUAUAAAAGUUUAGAUAAAACGAUAUCUCCUGUAUUGCUAGUACUAUCAAAAUUGUGCAUGAUAGUAAUUUAUAUGAUUUUUAUUACAUUACUAAUCAAUAACUUUAUCUGCAAAUUUAUUUUUAUAAAAUUUCAUAAUUGAAUUCAAUAAUUAUCCAAAUAGCUUGACCAAUUUGAAAUAAUGAUAAAGUGCAGAGAGAUAAUUGAUAUAUUUUUUUUAUAAAGAAAAGUAAUUGAGAUAAGCACUAAAGUGUUAAGAAGACUUUUUAUAAUUUAGCUUAAAUGGAAAGGCAGGUGUUCUUUGGAAUAUACCUGACCAGUUAGCAGGUAUAUAUAUAGGGUAGAAUUAAUUAUGGCUAGAUGUUAGGCUGAUCACAUUAGGGUUAGCAAUUUAGCCCGUUAUUCGCGAGCUAGCCCAUGUUCGGCUCGAAAUAAUCUCGAGAUUGAUCGCUCAUUUUAAUAAACGAGCUAAAGAAGAGCUGAAAAUCUUAAUGAGCUCGCUCGUGUUCGUCUCUCUCUCUCCCCCUCUCUCUCUAUGUAUAUAUAUUUGGAUGAUAGGCCAACCCAAAUGUACAAAAACCUAUAUUUUAUAAAUUUUAAUUAUUAGAUUAAAAUUCUAAUUUUCUUUCAAACUUUUCACCCAAUAGUAGAUCUGACGAUCUAGUUAAUUUGCUGUUGUGAGCCGGUUCAUGUUCGGCUCGUUAAUAAACAAGCAGAACACGAGCUGAAUUUUUCAGCUCGAUAUUUUACCAAGUCAACUCGUGUUCGGCAUUGUUUGAUAAACGAACGAACACAAGCCGGCCCAACUCACUCGUAUUCAGCUCGUUGACUGUCCUAGUUAACAUAUUAAAGAUCUUCUACUAAUUAUCUUCUGCUCAGGCACAAUUAUUAAGUCUAACCUAUCCAACAUUAUAUACCGCAAUAUCUAAUCACAGCUAUUAAAUAUAGAACUAUUCCCAAGCCUUUGGAAUGUCACAAUAAUGAUAGGUAUUUAGUCAAAUAUGCACUAAUGAAUAAUGUGGGGUUUAGUUCAUCCUAUAAUUAUCCAAAACAUAAUUGGCCCCACUUUAGGUUGUAAUGCUAUUUUUUAGGAGAAAUAUUAUAUCAAAGUACUACUUAUUUAUAGAUUUGUUCUACAGCAAAAUUAGAAAUAUUGAAGUAAAAUUAUGAUGCUGAGAUUUGAAAUAUUAUUAUUAUUAUUAUUAUUAUUAUUAUUAUUAUUAUUUUACUUUCUGCUUAAAAACUACAUUUUGUACCAAAUAAUCAGAGGGGGAUAAUAUCUAAUAUAUCCUUCAAAACUUCAAAAUUUUUUUACUUAUCUCGGGAGUACUAAAAUAACCUUAUUGAUUUUAAAAAUUUCUGCAAAUAUUUCUAUUUUUUCUACGGUUUACUAAUGAGAUUGAAUUUUAAAAAAAUAUUUUGAUAAUUUCAGAAUAAAUUUAAAAAUUUUAAAUAGUAGUAAGGAAGAUGUAGUAUCUCUCGAGUUUUGCAGGUGUGAGAUCUCAGCAUCUGAGACUUGUCGACACAUCUGGAGAGUGUCGGAACAAGUCUAAGUCGUUUUGGCACAAAAUAGACGCAAAACGGACUCAGUGUGAUGCCAGAGCAGAAUUUUGGCACUGAAAUCUGUAAAUUACAGAUUGUCAGCAUUGAGUACCGGUACCCCUGUAUAGAAUUUUUUAUUGCUGUUCUUGGGUUGCGAAGGCUGAUACGGUGUACUGGUACGACAUCGGUUUGCUAUCAAUACUCCAGGGUAGGUGAGGGGCCUUUUGGUCUUUUGAUGCACCGUUCAAACCAAGGCUUCCUCAGCCUUUUUAUACGUACAGAGAGCAUGGAGGAGGGGUUUGGCUGGCUGUUUCCUCUCUUUCUCUAGAUUUUGAUCGUGGUGGAGGUGGUGUUCGUGGCUCGAGCUCGGUUCGACGUCGACGGUUGUGCCGGGGAGUCGUUCGAGCGUACGAGUGUCGUGGUAGCACCGUUGGAGGCCGGGCGAGCACGUGUUUCUUCUUCUUCCGAGUUCUCGCCGUCGUGGAUUAGCGUUUCGAGGUGGGUUGAUGUUACCGGAAUUUUCAAAUUUCCUCCUAAGCCUAAUUGUUGUCGGCAUGUGUUUGGCUUCGUAGAGCAUGUUUAGUAGCUCGAUUCGUCGAUUUGCAUUGUUCUUAAAUGAAAUCUGAAUUGGAGCUUAGAGUGCUAGUUUUAUUAUACAUGUUGAACUUGGAUUUGACUUAGGAGAAAACUAUAGGUUCUACAUUGUCAUUUUUUAAAAACUAACAGAUUUAGCUUUAGGAGCUGUAGUUAGUUUGUAUCGCCGCAAUUUGUACGCGGUGGAUAUAAAGAAUUAUGUAGAAUGAAAUUACGCUCUUGCUGGGGUGCCGAAUUUAUUUUUACAGUAGUGUAUAUACUGUUCCGGGCUGUCAGGUGCCGUCGCGGUUGAUGGUUGAUCUAGAUUUCAGUAUUUUUCAUCAGAUUGUGCCGAGGGCACGCGAGUUAUGGUUGUUAGACCAGUUAGACCCUUCUUCUUUGACUAUAGCCUGUGAGAGCCUGAUUGAGCUCAGGAGAGAUACGCUUGCAUACUCGGUUGGGUAGCGCCCACGAGUGCCACUCCGGAGUCGGGCUUUGUGCUUUUGCGUUGUUGUCGGUUUGUCUUGUUUGGACUUGCUCUCCAUUGACGACCCAGUGUGUUGAUAGUAGUGUAGCUUCGACAGGCGGGACGGGUGUGUUCACAGUCCCUAAUGAGAUUGGGUCAGUGAUUGCAUUUUCUACAGAUAGUUAAUAUUGGAUCAUGAUAGUAUAGUAGCAUAUAGUUGUAGAAUUGUUUCAGCUUUCUUUACUAUCCUUGAGCAUACUUCUGUAGAGUUACUGGGUGAGCCGUUGAAGUCGGUAGCGGUACCCACUGAGGACUAUUUCGUUUUGCAGUAGUUCUCACACCCAGUUGUUGAACUCUUUUUGCAGAGUCUUCUUCUUCGGCUGCUGCUAUUGCGGAUACAGAUCAUGAAAAGGGAGUCGCGAGUUAGAUCCCUUCCCGUUUUGUUGCUGAUCUAGAGAUAUACCAGCUACAGGUAGUGUUGGUUUUUGGUUCUUGUACAUACUGAUAUUAGAUCCUCGCUGGAGCAAGUGUUAUGUAUUUGGAGACUAUGUAUGUAUAGAGAACCUGAUGUUAUUUAUACAUGUUUCAGUUUAGCAGAUCUAUACUACUAGUUGUAGUUUUGUAUGAUUACAGGUACAGAUACAGCUAUCGCUUCGUAUAUAGGGAAAAUUUCUUUGUAUAUGGCUGAUUUAUCGGCCUGCCCGGGGAAACGAAUAAUCCGGAAUAUGACAGAAGAAAUAAGCAAAAGCCUCUAAUCUGAGAUACCCUGCAAUUGUUAAAACAGAAGUCAUAUCAAAUUUAAAUAAGACGAUUCCACAUUAUUAAGUGUAGAAAAAAAAAUAUUUUUUUUCUAUGUUCUUUCUUAAGCUUAAAGGUAUAGAAAAUAUACAUAAAUAGAAAAGAAAGAUAGGAGUCUAUUUUUUAAUCCAACUAUAUUAAAACUUUGGGUUUUAAUUAAAUUAAAGCAAGAUCAUCNUAUAUAUAUAUAUAUAUAUAUAUAUAUAUAUAUAUAUAUAUAUAUAUAUAUAUAUAUAUAUAUAUAUAUAUAUAUAUAUAUAUAUAUAUAUAUAAUGAGAUAUGCCAUAAAUUCGUGUCAAAUGCACGUUGACGUGUUCCCAUCGGACACGAGUGUGACACGAACACCCACAUGUCCGACAUGAACAUACAAGGUUUAUAGAAGUACCCAUAAUACAUAAACAAAAAUUCUCUAUCCAAACCCUAGAUGUCUAUCAUGAUAUCUAUUCUAAUAAGGAAUCAAAUAUUUUUAGAUGAUUCGUCAUUCCAUUUUUCAUUCUAAUAUAAUCCGAUUCCAUCUCCUAUUUCUAUUUCAAUAAUAAACCAAACAUGCCCUUAGAACUAUCUUAGGCUUUUCCUUUGCUUGGAAGAUCGAAUGCAAGAUGGAGUAAUGAAAGUGCAAGAUGUGGCAAGAUGGUAUUAAAUUGAAGGCUAACGUCCGGUCUCAAUUACUCUCCUGUAUUAAAAAUUAUAUCAAUUAUCACUUUGCACUUUGUCAUCAUCUCAAAUAGAUUCAAAAAUUAUAAAGAGUAGCAAGUUAGGCAGCAAAACUUUACUAAAAUAAGUCGGGAUAUUACAUUAUUCCAUAUCUCAAUAAUCCAAUUUGUAACGCAAAAAAUAUAUAAAAGUUUAGAUAAAACGAUAUCUCCUGUAUUGCUAGUACUAUCAAAACUGUGCAUGAUAGUAAUUUUUAUGAUUUUUAUUACAUUACUAAUCAAUAAUUUUGUCUGUAAAUUUAUUUUUAUAUAAUUUUAUAGUUGAAAAUUCAACAAUUAUCUAAAUAGCUUGACCAAUUUGAAAUAAUGAUAAAGUGCAGAGAGAUAAUUGAUGUAAUAUUUUAUGAAGAAAAGUAAUUGAGAUAAGCACUAAAGUGCAAGAAGACAUUUUAUAAUUUAGCUUAAAUGGAAAGGCAGGUGUUCUUUGGAAUAUACCUGAUCAGUUAGCAGGUAUGUAUAUAGGGUAGAAUUAAUUAUGGCUAGAUGUUAGGCUGAUCACAUUAGGGUUGGCAAUUUAGCCCGUUAUUCGCGAGCUAGCCCAUGUUCGGCUCGAAAUAAUCUCGAGAUUGAUCGCUCAUUUUAAUAAACGAGCUAAAGAAGAGCUGAAAAUCUUAAUGAGCUCGCUCGUGUUCGUCUCUCUCUCUCUCUCUCUCCCCCUCUCUCUCUAUGUAUAUAUAUUUGGAUGAUAGGCCAACCCAAAUGUACCAAAACCUAUAUUUUAUAAAUUUUAAUCAUUAUAUUAAAAUUCUAAUUUUCUUUCAACUUUUCACCCAAUAGUAGAUCUGAUGAUCUAGUUAAUUUGCUGUUGUGAGCUGGUUCAUGUUCAGCUUGUUAAUAAACAAGCAGAACACGAGCUGAAUUUUUCAGCUCGAUAUUUUACCAAGUCAACUCGUGUUCGGCAUUGUUUGAUAAACGAACGAACACAAGCCGGCCCAACUCACUCGUAUUCAGCUCGUUGACUGUCCUAGUUAACAUAUUAAAGAUCUUCUACUAAUUAUCUUCUGCUCAGGCACAAUUAUUAAGUCUAACCUAUCCAACAUUAUAUACCCCCAUAUCUAAUCACAGCUAUUAAAUAUAGAACUAUUCUCAAGCCUUUGGAAUGUCACAAUAAUGAUAGGUAUUUAGUCAAAUGUGCACUAAUGAAUAAUGUGGGGUUUAGUUCAUCCUAUAAUUAUCCAAAACAUAAUUGGCCCCACUUUAGGUUGUAAUGCUAUUUUUUAGGAGAAAUAUUAUAUCAAAGUACUACUUAUUUAUAGAUUUGUUCUACAGCAAAAUUAGAAAUAUUGAAGUAAAAUUAUGAUGCUGAGAUUUGAAAUAUUAUUAUUAUUAUUAUUAUUUUACUUUCGGCUUAAAAACUACAUUUUGUACCAAAUAAUCAGAGGGGGAUAAUAUCAAAUAUAUCCUUCAAAACUUCAAAAUUUUUUUAUUUAUCUUGGGAGUACUAAAAUAACCUUAUUGAUUUUAAAAAAUUUCUGCAAAUAUUUCUAUUUUUUCUACUGUUUACUGAUGAGAUUGAAUUUUAGAAAAAUAUUUUGAUAAUUUCAGAAUAAAUUUAAAAAUUUUAAAUAGUAGUAAGGAAGAUGUAGUAUCCCUGGAGUUUUGCAGGUGUGAGAUCUCAGCAUCUGAGGCUUGUCGACACAUCUGGAGAGUGUCGGAACAAGUCUGAGUCGUUUUGGCGCAAAAUAGACCCAAAACGGACUCAGUGUGAUGCCAGAGCAGAAUUUUGACACUGAAAUCUGUAAAUUACAGAUUGUCAGCAUUGAGUACCGGUACCCCGGUAUAGAAUUUCUGAUUGCUGUUCUUAGGUUGCGAAGGCUGAUACGGGGUACCGGUACGACAUCGGUUUGGUAUCAGUACUCCAGGGUAGGUAAGAGGCAUUUUGGUCUUUUGAUGCACCGUUCAAACCAAGGCUUCCUCAGCCUUUUUAUAUGUACAGAGAGCAUGGAGGAGGGGUUUGGCUGGCUGUUUCCUCUCUCUCUCUCUAGAUUUUGAUCGUGGUGGAGGUGGUGUUCGUAACUCGAGCUCGGUUCGACGUUGACGGUUGUGCCGGGGAGUCGUUCGAGCGUACGUGUGUCGUGGUAGCACCGUUGGAGGCCGGGCGAGCGCAUGUUUCUUCUUCUUCCGAGUUCUCGCUGUCGUGGAUUAGCGUUUCGAGGUGGGUUGAUGUGACCGGAAUUUUUAAAUUUCCUCCUAAGCCUAAUUGUUGUCAGUAUGUGUUUGGCUUCGUAGAGCAUGUUUAGUAGCUCGAUUCGUCGAUUUGCAUUGUUCUUAAAUGAAAUCUGAAUUGGAGCUUAGAGUGCUAGUUUUAUUAUACAUGUUGGAUUUGGAUUUGACUUAGGAGAAAACUAUAGGUUCUACAUUGUCAUUUUCUAAAAACUAACAGAUUUAGCUUUAGGAGCUGUAAUUAGUUUGUAUCGCCGCAGUUUGUACGUGGUGGAUAUAAAAAAUUAUGUAGAAUGAAAUUACGCUCGUGCUGGGGUGCCGAGUUUAUUUUUACAGUAGUGUAUAGACUGUUCCGGGUUGUAGGGUGCCGUCGCGGUUGACGGUUGAUCCAGAUUUUAGUAUUUUGCAUCAGAUUGUGCCGAGGGCACGCGAGUUAUGGUUGUCAGACCAGUUAGACCCUUCUGCUUUGACUAUAGCCUGUGAGAGCCUGAUUGAGCUCAGCAGAGAUACGCUUGCAUACUCGGUUGGGUAGCGCCCACGAGUGCCACUCCGGAGUCGGGCUUUGUGCUUUUGCGUUGUUGUCGAUUUUGUUGGCCCAGUGGCCCUAAUCAUCUAUUAGAUUUUGAUGAUAACAAAUAAUCACGAUUAUUGGACUAAUCUCUUUAUCUUGAGUCUUGUGUUUUAGAUCUCUCUAUCUUCAAAAAGGAUUCAAGAUGGGCAAUAUUCUGGCACCAAGCUUCACCUCUUGAAGCUGUGUCUGCUUCUUUUGUCAAACAGACAAACUCNGGCGGGGACGUAGGCAAAGUGCCGAACCUCGAAACAAAUUGAUCGUGUGUUUUUCGAGUUUGCAUUUCUUUUAUUUGCAUCGGUUUUUUAAUUUGCUUGAUUAUUUGGAUUUUUAUUUUAGAAACCUAAUUCACCCCCCCUCUUAGGUUGCCAUUUUGAUCCUCAGAUUUGUCUUGUUUGGACUUGCUCUCCACUGACGACCCAGCGUGUUGAUAAUAGUGUAGCUUCGACAGGCGGGACGGGUGUGUUCACAGUCCCUAAUGAGAUUGGGUCAGUGAUUGCAUUUUCUACAGAUAGUUAGUAUUGGAUUAUGAUAGUAUAGUAGCAUAUAGCUGUAGAAUUGUUCCAGUUUUCUUUACUAUUCUUGAGCAUACUUCUGUAGAGUUAGUGGGUGAGCCAUUGAGGUCGGUAGCGGUACCCACUGAGGACUAUUUCGUUUUGCAGUAGUUCUCACACCUAGUUGUUGAACUCUUUUUGCAGAGUCUUCUUCUUCGGCUGCUGCUGUUGCGGAUACAGAUCGUGAAAAGGAAGUCGCGAGUUAGAUCCCUUCCCAUUUGCUGCUGAUCUAGAGAUACACCAGCUAUAGGUAGUAUUGGUUUUUAGUUCUUAUACAUACUGAUAUUAGAUCCUCGCUGGAGCAAGUGUUAUGAAUCUGGAGACUAUGUAUGUAUAGAGAACCUGAUGUUAUUUAUACAUGUUUCAGUUUAGCAGAUCUAUACUACUAGUUGUAGUUUUGUAUGAUUACAGGUAUAGGUACAGCUAUCGCUUCGUAUACAGAAAAAAUUUCUUUGUAUAUGGCUGAUUUGUCGGCGUGCCCGGAAAAACGAAUAAUCCGGGAUAUGACAGAAGAAAUAAGCAAAAGCCUCUAAUCUGAGAUACCCUGCAAUUGUUAAAACAGAAGUCAUAUCAAAUUUAAAUAAGACGAUUCCACAUUAUUUAGUGUAGAAAAAAAAAAAAUUUCUAUGUUCUUUCUUAAGCUUAAAGGUAUAGAAAAAUGAGUAGGGCUAGAAUACUUUUACAAGUAUCACCCAAGUGAUACUUGUGUGUUUUUAGCCAUUGGAUCUACUUUUUGAUUACUAAUAGUCCUUGGAUCAAACACUAUUCUACCUACCACCACCUACCACCAUCAUCUCAACCUCACAUCUCUCCAUCCAAGGGCUAAAAACACACAAGUAUCACUUGGAUGAUACUUUUACAAGUAUUCUAGCUCUACUCUAGAAAAAUAUACAUAAAUAGAAAACAAAGAUAGGAGUCUAUUUUUUAAUCCAACUAUAUUAAAACUUUGGGUUUUAAUUAAAUUAAAGCAAGAUCAUCCUUAUCUAGCAAACUUUAUUAUGUUCACAGUAUCCAAGUACAGCAAACUUAGUAAUUAAUUGGUGACACAAUUUGGAAGCAUCCAAACCCUAGGCACAAAACAUUGAUUACUUCAAUAAAUUCACUUUGGUUCCACCACCACUACUGCAUAGUGCAGUUGUUUGGUUCUUAGGAUGAUCCCAGAUUUGUUCGAAAUUGUUAAAUAACAGAAGCUUAAGCAGAUUAAAAAAAUUUGAUAUUUUUGGACUCAAAAUUUUUUGAUAUGUUUAACGAUAUUUUUCACGUUUGGACUCAAAAUUUUUGGAUAUACACAUGAUGUGAACUUAAAUUAAAUGAGAUAAAAUUAAUUAUUUUCAGAACUUGGAGUGACUCGAAUUCGUGCUCUAAUACUAUAUUAAAUAAUGUGAAACAACUGUUAUUUUUUAAAAUUCAACAUUCCUCUGAAACAGUACAGUACAAAUUCAUCUCUUUCUCUCUGGUUCUUCAUUUUUUUUGUAGAAAAAAUUAUUUUUCUUUAUAGUUUAUUUUUUAUAUAUAUAGAGUAGGGCUACUGUGCUCUCAGGAGCACGGAGGCCUCCGUGCUCUUGAGCCGUUUUCGAUGAUGAAAUUUUCGAAUCGACGAUCGGCUCCGUUAGACUUGAUCUAGCAUAUUUGAAGUUUCUAGAAAAUAAUUUUUGCGAUUUUUCGAUAUCAUUUACCUAGCAAUCGAAAAGAUUCAAAAUCUAUAAUUUUUAACGGCUAAAAAUAAAAAUCCUAUAAAAAGUGGUGAUAUAGCACUAAAAUUUUCGAUCAGAAAUAUUGAUUUUGUUGUAGAUAGUAUAAAGAAUUUUGUAUCAAAAUUUCAUCUGAUUUGAAUACUUCUACACCGUUAAACUUAAAAACGGCAGAUAUCAACCAUUAAAAAUUAUUGAUUUUGAAUCCUUUCGAUCACUAGGUAAAUGAUAUCAAAAAAUAGCAAAAAAUAUUUUCUAGAAACUUCAAAUGCGCUAGAUCAAGUCUAACGGAGCCGAUCGUCGAUUCGAAAAUUUCAUCAUCGAAAACAGCCUCACGGUCCCGGUUGUUCCUGGAGAGCAGCAGUCAGCCUGCUAUAAGUAUUAUAUAUAUUAUAAUAUAAUUAUAGAUAUCCGGCUGGAGAUAUCUAUCGAUAGUACCGAAGGAUUUGGUGCUAUCUGAGUUUGUUCCCGCUAGAUUUUAACCCUCAUGAAUUAAUUUUAACAUCCGUUCGCAUUAUUAAACUUAUUCAACCAAACCAUCUGCACUCAACCCUAGGGGGCCCAACAGCAUUCGCUAGACUCACCUAUUUCUCAGAUCUAAGGCGAAAAAAUGCCAAUACACAUAUUGGUGCUUUUUGAUAGUACUCCAGCCCACGUUCAUAGUAUGAGUCCGGUUGGAUCUAAUCGGAUAAGUACCAAGGAUUUGGUGUUAUCGAUUUCCACCGUUAGAUUAACCAUCUGAUUAUUUUUAACCCGUUAGAAGUUAUAUUAUUCAAUCAAAUCAACCAACCACUCGGGUCACUCACCCUAUGGGGUCCGACAACAUCCUAACCGGACCUAUUUCUCAAUCUAAGGCUAAAAAAUCAAUAGCACCAAUAGCUUGGUGCUUUUAUAGUAUGUCCAACCUAGUAUAUAUAUAUUAAAUAUUAUAUAUAAUAUAGAGUGAGGUGCUACUAUGCUAUCGGAAGGCAACGGAGCAUUCCGUGCUUCCAGUCUCGUUUCGAUGUUUGCGACGUUCGAAUCGUCGAUCGCCUCCGUGUAAACUUGAUCUAGAGUAUUGAAGUAGCUAGAAAAUAAGUUUUAUGAUUUUACGAUAUCAUUUGCUAGUGAACAAGGCUCAAAUCAACAGGCUGGAAAUAAAGCUGUACAAAUGUAAUGAAUAUAAAUUAAAAAGUUUAAAUAAAUAAUAUGAGUCUGUUUUUAUAUAGUAUAAUAGAAUUUUCUAUGCAAAUUUCACGUGAUUUGGAAUAUUUCUCAAAAAACCGUUAAACUUGCAAACGGCUCACUACGGGCUAUUAAAUUUAUUGAUUUUGAGCCCAUUCGAUCAUCGAGGCAAAUGAUAUCAGAAAAAUAAUAAAAAUUUUAUUUUCCUAGGUCACCAAAUACUCUAGAUCAAGUUAAACGGAGCCGAUCGACGGAUUCGAAAGUCGCAGACAAUAGAAUCAGCCUGGAAGCACGGAAGCCCGUGCUCUCGAUAGGCAUGUAGCCUGCACUCUAUAUAAUAUAAUACUAGAUGAGAGAGAGAGAUAGGAAAAAAAUAGAGAAGAGAGAGACGGAGGAGAGAAGAGAGAGAUGAGAGAGAGAGAGAGAAGUUAGCUAGAAUACCUAGGUCGGAUAGCAAACGGGUUCCGUUGCCACCCAUUUGUUUUCGAUGAUAGAGCCUCCAAAUCGACGAUUGGCACCGUUGAACAUAAUCUAUACUACUUGAAGUGUUUAGAAAUCAAAUUUCAAAUCUUUUUGACAUCAUUUGUCUAAUGAUCAAAGGGUUUCAAAAUUUGUAAUUUUAAUUGUCGAUAUGAGGCGUUUUCUCGUUUAACGGUGUAAAGAUACUCAAAUCAAUUGAAUUUUUGUUAGAAAAUUCUUUAAACUAUUUAAAACAAGAUCUAUACUCUUGAUCUUGAUUACAAGACUCCUAUCAUCAUUUUUUAAAAAAUAUUCAUUUUCAGCCGUUCAUUUUUGUGUCCACUCGAUGGAUAAGAGAACAAUAUUGAAAAUGUAUGAAAUUUGAUUUCCAAACACUUUAAGUGGUAUAGAUCAUGUUUAACGGUGCCGAUUGUCGAUUUGGAGGCUCCAUCAUCGAAAACAAAUGGGUGGCAACGGAGCCCGUUUCCUAUCGAUAGUAUUCUAACUCAACUAUAUAUAUAUAUAUAUAUAUAUAUAUAUAUAUAUAAAGAGAGUACAUAAUAUAGUUGGUAGGUAUUCAAUUGCCACCUAAAGAGGUAGGAUGUUGGAUCUCUUAUUAGUAGACCCGUCAUUUUCUAUUUAUAUCCGCGUAUACUCAUAGAUUACUUAUAAAUUUGCAGGUAUGAAUAUUAAUUUUUCUUAUCCAAAAAAUUAUGCGUAACACGAAUGAGUAUCCGUUAAAAUUGUGGACAUUUUUUGUCUAUCCACUUAAAAAUUCUAAAUCUAACUACUCUUCUUCUUCUUUUCUUUCUGUGGCCCUCUCUCUUACCACGCCGCCUCUUUUGCCGCGCUGUUCUACCACCCUUCGGCUGCCUGCUUUACAUGUAAAAUAUCUUUACAUAUAGUUUAUGCGUUUUAAAAUUUAUAUUAUUUAUUAUAUAUUAUGAUAUUUCAAAUAAUAAAUUAUAUUAUAAUCUUUUAAAAGUUAUGUAUAUGUAAUUUGCAUUUGAAAAAUAUAAGAAUUAAAUAAAAAAAAAAGAAGAAUAUCUUACAGGUAAUCCGCAUAUCCACUCACCUGUUCACAGACGGAUAUAGAUAAAGAUACAGACUAUCUAAAAAUUUGCUUUAUAUUUAUAUAAUCUGCGAGUAAAAUAAUCCAUCUGUCAUUUAUUUAAUUCGUCUGUUUGUCGGGCCUACCUACCUACCUACCUACCUACGAGGGGGCAGACUAAAAUUGACCAUCUUAUAAUUAGCCAUUCAAACAUGGUUUCAAUGAAGAAGUUAUGUGUGAGUGGACAACUUCCCAACCCCUUUACAAUGACUCAUUUGACCCCAUUUUCAAUGCCCUCCCCAAAUUUAAUUAGGAGAGCCCUCAAAAUGAGUGAUGGAGAGAACUAUUAGGUGAUUCCCCCCUUGCCAAAGAACCCAUUUUUAACCACAACCCACCAAUAAUCAUUGUAGAGAGAGAUAAAAAAAAUAUAAGCCCAAAUAAAGAGGGGGAAGAGAGAGAAAAAGUAGGAAGAGGACAGGUGUUCAUUCUUGAUUAGGCCAUGAAGAGAGAGAGAGAGAGAGGGGAGAAGAAGAUAAGCCCAUCCUCCAUCCCUAUUUCCCAACCAAGUAACCAACCAUAUAAAUCCCCACCCCAUGAAUUAGAAUCUUUGUUCCUCUCUCUCUCUCUCUCUCUCUCUCUCUCUCUAUCCCCCCUCUCACCCAACCCCUCCCCAAAAUCCAAUUUUUAAGAAAGAGGGAGGAAGGAGACUCUCUCUCUUCUCUCUCUCUCUCUCUAAAGAGGGAGGAAGGAGAGGGAUUUGGGUGUUGAUCUCUCUCUCUCUCUCUCUUCUUCAACCCCAAAAUCCAAUUUUUAUAAGAUUGGGUGUUAAAGAGAGAGAGAGAGAGAGUGUGUGUGUGUGAGGAGAGAGAAAAUAGGAGGGAUUUGGGUGUUGGUUGUUGAGGAGGAAGAAGAUCUUUGAUGAGCUAAAAAAGCUUUUGUAAGGUUUGUGGAGGGGGUGAGGUGUGGAAGGGUCCCCCACACUUCAUAUUGUUGUUUUCCCACACUAUCAUCCCCCCUCUCUAUCUCUCUCUACUUUCUCUCUCUACAAACCUUCUCAAUUUCCUCUCACUCCUAUUAAAACCACCCCCUCCUCCAAAGCUCCCUCCUUUGUGUUGUGUUGUGUUGUGUUGUGUUGUGUUAGGUUACACCCACUCCCAUCCACCCAUUUCCCAAACUAAGAUUUUGUUGGUGGUUUUUAGUUGCAACACCACCAUCCUCUUUGAUGUGAGAGAAAAAAAAAGGGGACCCAAAAACCCAAACCCAAUUCUUAGGAUUAUUAAUUAAUCCAUUAAAGUUCAAAAUCCUGAGAUUUCUUUUUUUUUUCUUAUUAUUUAUCCAAAAAAAAAAUUGGAAUUUUUGCAUCUGAUUGGUGUUUUUUUUUUUUUUUUUNAGUAAACCCUAAACUUUCGAAAACUUCGUUUACUUUUCUUUUCUUAUAGUGAAUCAACCCCUUGGCCUAGGGUUGAGCUAGUAUUAAAGAAGAAGAAGAAAAAAAAAAAAAUCAAAAAAAAAAUCAAAACCUCCAAUUUUUGAUGAUCUUCUUACUUGUUCCAUUCGUGUCCUCCUUCUUGCUCCUCCUCCUCUCAAAAUCCCUGUCUGUCCAGUCCCUGCCCUCAUGGGCAGCUGACAUGAGACUGCUGUCUUCCCUCCUGCUCCGCGAUCUCGGCCUUCAGCUGCUCUGCUUCCUGCAAGACUGCACUCUUGCCGGCGCCGCCGCCGUCAGAAUUCGAUCCCCCGCGAUGCCGUCCCCCAGGAAGAAACUGCAAUCGCGGCCCGACGGCGGCAGAGGGGGCGGCGAAUCGGGCGGUCCGUCGAUCCUCGAUUUGCCCGAGCUGGCCCUCGAAUUGGUUCUCGGGAAGCUGCCGCCCCCCGCGCUCUGCAACGCGGCCGCCGUGUGCGCCGAGCUUCGCGACCGGUGCCGGAGCGAUCACCUGUGGGAGAGGCAUGUGAGGGAGAAGUGGGGGCGGGUGAUCGGCGACGCUGCCCGCCGCGAGUGGCAGCUGCACUUGGCCUCGAAAUCGGCCCAACCGAAGGCAGGUGGCGGGGGCGGCGGCGGCAGCAUCGGCAUCGGCGGCGGCGGGAGGUCGAGGCGGUGGAUCGCCGCGCUCUCCUGCGUCUGGCCGUUAUCCUGGAUUAGGUCUAGUGCCGAUCGCAGCUGCGGCGGCAACAAGCCGAAAAGAAGCGGCCCCUUGCCGGACAAUUCGAUCAUGGCGUGGUACAUGUCGAUGGAGACCGGCAUGUUCUGGUUCCCUGCUCAGGUCUACAACCGCGAGGUAUGCGAAUUCAAGGUCGAAUUCGCAAAGAUCGUGCGAUCAUGUGUUGUGUUCGACGAAAUGCCACUAAAAGAGUUUUCGAUUCUGAUUGUUGUGUUUUGUUUGCAGCAUGGGCAUGUCGGGUUCAUCUUGUCGUGCUACGACGCCGAAGUGAGCUACGAUUGCCGCAGCGACACCUUCCAUGCGAGGUAUGUGUAAUACCGCGGCGUAAUUGAAUGCUUAGGUUUUGCUCUUUCGUUUUUUCCGGCGAUCCGCGGCGAAUUCUAGGUCAAAAUAGGUUUCCUAUGUAUGACAAGAAGAGAGAUAGGGGAGGUUGGGAUGCUUCUACUCUUAUUUUCUUGCAAUUCAUCUUGGUUAGGAUAGACUCAUGAUGCGAAUAUGGAUGUCAAAAUUUAGCAUUCGACACGUAUUCGUAUCCGAAUUCGCAUUUGAAAUUGGUUUCUUCAAAAAUCCGACUGUAUUCAACCGUUCUCACUCUUAACAGAUAAGAGGGAUGUAAAUAUAUAUUGUAGGGGGAUUGCAGGGGGAUAAAAUGGUUUUCGAUUGUGCUUUUUGUUUAUUUUACUAUGAAUUUUGUAUUAAAAUUAUGUUUAUAUUUGGUAAGAUAUUAAAUUUUAUUGAGUGAAAUCUAAGAAUACGAAGUUUGAACACGAGUAUGGAUCUUUAAUUGCAUUCAUUGUGUUUCAUGUUAUUAUUAUCCGAAUAAUAUCCAAAUACAAAUCCGAGUUUUAUCUGAAUUCGAAUCCGUUUUAAACGGAUAUGGUAACAAAAAUUUAGCAACCGACACAUAUCAUCAUCCGAAGAAAAAUAUGGAUGGAAUAUGGUUUUGUUAAAAAUCUGACCGUAUUCGACCAUUUUCACCCCUAAUGCUACCCCGGUAAAAUCCGAAUACGGGUACUUUAGUCUCGAAGAAAUGAAACUCAAUCGAAGAGUGGCAUUUUUGGUAAGCGCGAUGACGACGACAUGUUUAGGUCUUAUGUAAUAAUUCAGUUUUCGACAAUGUUAUAUAGAUAAAUAUAUGAUAUUACAGCAUCUCAUUUGAGAGUCUGCUAUUGCUGUUGCUCAUCUUUAAGCGCAAUCUCAACCGACAGGUACCCGCCGCACGGGCGUCGGACCAUCGUCAUCGAAGAGGGAGUUCAAUGGGAUAGGCUACGGCCGCCCCCCGUCGACACUCCCGCACACGACCUCCACAUCUCGGACUGCUUGAAUGAUCUCCGCCCGGGCGACCACAUUGAGAUUCAAUGGAGAAGGAACAAGGAGUUCCCCUACGGUGCGCGUUUUUGCGUAACAUCUCCUUUUAGCUCGAACUUUCAAAAAUAGUUCAGUGAUAAUUAUUCGACUUAAUCGGCAUUUUUUUUUUUUGUUUUGGGCAGGAUGGUGGUAUGGAGUUGUAGGUCACUUAGAGUCGUGCGACGGGAACGAGCAUUUCUGUCGCUGCCAUCUCAGCGGUGAGUGUCGCACCUCUGACUUGUUGUCGCUUUUAAAUUUUUCCCUUCUCUGGCUUAACAUAAAAACUGGACCUAGUAUUGAAAAUGUUAGUAUCUGAUUCAGAAACACUUUUUCCUCCCGCGUGUUUGAAGUUUUGUUUGCGACUCUGAAAAAACUGAAAACUGAAAACUGAAAACUGAAAAAUGAAAAAUGAAAAACUGAAUCCCUCGUUUUGGUUACACUCCAAUUCUCUUGAUUCUUAACCCUCAAUUUUACGUCACUGGAAUGCACCAGCGACGGCGCAAUAAAUGAAAACAAACAAGAAUUAGAACGAUGACCGACCAAGGCCAAAACGAAACUUCAGCCCAAACUAAAACUGAUGCUAGUUCUGAUAAAUUUUUGCGGUUCGUGAACUCUGCUUAUUUUUUUUCUCAGAUACGGUCGCGUUGGAGUUCAAUCACUACACACCUGGCUCGCGAUGGAGGCGGGCGUCGGUCAAUCGAAAGGAUCACCGCGAAGGCAACGAAACUGACGGGUUCUACGGCGGCAUCAGGAAACUGCACUGCAAGGCCGAGAUCUCAAAGUGGAGGCAACUUUGGCCGACCGAUAUCUUGGAAUAGAUAAAACAUUGCGUCGAAUCUCUUCAGCGAAUACAUCACGAUAUCGCUCUUCGAUCUCAACACAAAAGUUAAAAAGAUUUAGUAUCUAACUAUGAUCUGAGCAUCAAUGUAUGCCAUGUUGUUAUUUCUCACUCUCUUUCUCUCUCUUCUUUUUUCUUUUUUUUUUUCCUUUUUUUAUAUUUUGGCUGAUUGGGGGGGAGGGUUGUUUAUACAACUCCAGGAACAGGAAUUAUCCACUAUUGUAUUGUUAGAACAGAUUAAAAGCAAAUGUAAAUUACACAAUUAGCUUCUAUUUGAAGAGUAUUUUAGGAGUUCAUCUGAAUAAUGUUCUGAUUAUCUGAUCUGUAAAAAAUUUGCUGCUUUGGAUUUUGUUUUUUUUUGAGAUUUUUUCUGCAACUGUAAUGUUUUGAACUUCCUUUGAUGUAUUAUAAGAUUAAAUUGCGGUUUAAGUAGAGCUGUUUGAAGAAGAACAAACUGUAGAGUUUGCGAUAGAAGCUCCUAAUUUUAGAUUCUUCUUUCGCAUUUUAGAUUCUCAAGUCACAGCAGGAGCUCUAAACUUCUACAGUUUAAAAUAGAUGAAUAAUGAAUUGUUUCGGAAGUUAACUUGUAGUCUUGAAGAUCAUCAUUACUGUCUUCUAAUAAAUUUUUUCAAUAAAAAAAAAAAUCUCUCUAAUGAUUUCGCGCUGCGAAUAAGGUUGGCAAUAAAUUGGAGCUUCGGUUUCUGAGACGUAUAAGCUCAUUUCUAGUUUUCUGUCGCAGCAAAAGUUCAAAAGUUUUUUUUUUUUUUUUGCCAAAGUGAAAAAGCUAUUUACAUUCGAAUCAAAUCCUUAUAUAAUUACUCGUGCGAUUUUUUAACCGUCAGAUUAUCUUAAGAUUCGUGCAGUAUUAAUAAGGGAGACUUAGUAGGACACAUCGUCAAUAGUACUGUAUAAAUCUUGAGGGCGAUCCGACGGCUAAACAGUCAUAAGCAUAAAUGCUCUUGUGUUUUCAAAAGUACAGGAGCUCAACUCGUAGUUUUAGUAUCUUUUUAAGUUUCUUGUGACAAGUUAUGAAUAUGUAAGGCGUGGAUGAUAACCUUAUAAAACUCCUACAACUCUACAAGGUACAUUUAAUUUUAAGUGGAAAUAUUAACCUUUUUUAGGGAUAAUUUUUUUUAAUAUUCUUCUGGAAGGUUGUGAUUUCAUAAAAUGUCCCUUCAGAGUUCAAAAUAUCAUCAAUACUCUCAUAAACAUUAUAAUUCAUGCGAAUUUAAUAGAUCAGUUCUGAAAUUUCAUUUUUCACCUGUAGUAAACUUAAAGCUUAGCAAAAUUAGCACCAAGAAAGCAAUUUCCAUAAUUUCAACACAUUUUUUAAAGCUAAAUAACUAAUAAAUAAAAGCAAUAGAUCACACAUUUAAUGAGAAAUUUAAAAAAAUAAAGCCAUAACUUGUAAAGUUAAAAUCUAUGUCCUACAAAAAAUAACAGUAUGUAUUAAUAUUAAUAUUUUGCUUUACAAGAAAUAGUUGAGAGUAAAAUUGUCAUUUCAUUAACUUAAUGAGUAUUUAGUAUAUAUGCUUGAAUUGGUACUUGUGAUAAAUUCAUAUAUUUAGAGGGGUAUAUGUUUUGAAGGGGCAUCUAUGAAAUUUUGAAAUUCAGAGAGCAAUGUUGGAAAUUGCUUUUUUUUAAAAAAAUUAACUAGCCCUUUCAAGGGUGCAUAUGCAUAGAAUCAAAUAUGAAAUCUCUUAGCUUCGUUUGGUUUGGAGUUAAGUAAAAACUAGUUAUUUCAAGAAUACGGUUAAGUUCAGGAUUAAGCCUGGAAUAGAUUAAUUUUGCUUUCGGAUUAUAAUUGAGUUGUUUCCGGAAUUAAGAAAAAUAGUGUUUGGACAGAUAAUAUAGAAUAAGAAGAAUAGUGGGUAGAGUUAUAAAUAGAAAAUAAUGAUAUUGCCCUAAUUAUUAUAUUUUAAUUUAAAUUUAAAAUUUAAAUAAUUAAAAAUAAUAAUUUAAAAUUUAAAAUUUAAAAUAAAAAUUUUUAUUUUUAAAUCUCAAAUUUAAAAUUUAAGUUAUAACUUUUAAAUUUUAAAUUUUAAAUCAACUCUCAAGUUACAAAUAUAAAAUGUUAAAUUUAAAUAAUUAAAAUAAUAUUUAAAAUUUAAAAUUUAAAAUUUAAAUCUAAAUAUUAAUUUAAAAUUUAUAAUUUAAAAUCUAAAUGUUAAUUUUAAUUUUAAAAUUUUAAAAUUUAAAAUUUAUAAUUUAUAAUUUAUAAUUUAAAUUAUAUAUUUAAAAAUUAAAUAGGGUGGGAUUAGCUAAUCAAUUUGGCCGCACUUAGGGCUAGCAAUCAGCUCGUUGUACGCGCAGGCGUCCAUAUUUAACUUGAAAUGAGCAUCACGAUCGAUCGCGCAUUUAAUGAACGAGCAGAAAAAGCUGAAUUUUUCAACUCGAAAUCUUAACAAGCCCAACACGAGCUGCGGAUUAGUUCAUUUGCAUUCAGCUCAAUAUAGUUCGAAUACACUCACAGAUAAAUAAAUAAAUAAAUAAAUAAAUAUAUAUAUAUAUAUAUAUAUAUAUUAUAUAUAUAUAUAUAUAUAUAUAUAUAUAUAUAUAUAUAUAUAUUUAAUUUUUUACUAUUUGAAUUUAGGCCAAUCAAAAUGUAAUGGGGCUUAUAUUUUGUAAAAUUUUAUUAUUAGAUUAGGUUUUUAAUUUUUUAACUUUCUUUCAACUUUUUCGUGGAUAGUAGGACUGGCAAUCUAACUUACUGUUCCUAAGACAGCUCGUGUUCGGCUCUUUAAUAUACAAGAAGAACACGAGCUGAAUGUUUUAGCUUGAUAUUUUAAUAAGUCAGCUCAUGUAUGGCUUAUUUAAUAAACAAACGAAUAUGAGCCGUCCCCAGCUCGCUUGUGUUCAGCUUGUUAACAAUAGCCCUAGUCGCACUAUGGUGAUGUAAUAAAGAGGUGCUAACGGGCUGGAUCGAGUUGGAUCUAAAUGGACCCGAUUCGGUCCAAGAUUUUAAAAUCCAAUCCAAUCAAGUUUAGAGGUCUACAUCUUGGGAGCAAUAUUGGGUCGGAUUUUAAAACAUUUCUAAGCAACUUGCCCCGGCCCGGCCCGGCCCGACCUAGCCUGGCACUUUGACAAUUGUAGUAGUAAUAAUAAGAAAACACUUCAAAUGCCACCUGGAGUUUCGCAUUUUCUCAUCUUAGUACUCUGUGAUUUAAAAUGUAUCACUUUCAUACCCUGUAUUUUUUUUGUUCUUUUUGUUAUCCACUUCACUAUUUUUUUUUUGUUAAAUCAGUGACAAAGUUAAAACUGAAGGUUACUAAAGUGAAUAUUCGAUAAACCAUUAGUAGGUAUCCUAAUUUUUUUGUAUAUAAUUUAACGAAAAGUUAACGAAGGGACUGACGAAAAGAGAAAAAUGAAAUCAUAGGGUACUAAAUUGAUAUACUUUAAAAUGCAGAGUACUAAGUGCGAAAGUACGAAACCACGAGGGUGAUAUUUGAAGUUUACCCUAAUAAUAAUAAUAGUAAUAAUAAUAUAUAAUAAUGUAGAUAAUUUUUCAGCACCUAUACCUUUUCUUUCAACUCAGGGACAGUGUUUUGUUUCAUAAAAUAGUUUUUUGGUUGAAAAAAUAUUUUUUACUAUGUAUCACAGACACUUCUAUAAGCCUCACGUUUCUGUAUCAGACACGCUUGUAUCUAAUGUGGGCACUCCUUGGACGUGCGUUCAAUACCGCUCUAAAGUGCAUACAAUUAAUAUAUAUAUAUAUAUAUAUAUAUAUAUAUAUAUAUAUAUAUAUAUAUAUAUAUAUAUAUAUNUUCACAUUUUUAUGCAUAUAUAAUAUAAAAUGGCAAAUAUUUUAGCUUUUUUAUAAAGGCAUACACAUUUUCUUGGACAAUAUAAAUAAAUUAUGAAUAGUGGAGAAUUUCUUUUCUUAAAAUAAAUGAACUAUCAAUAAAAAUUUUACUAACUUUCAAUCAUACGAGAAAUAUAAUAAUAUUUUACCAAAAUUAAUAUUUUACAAGUAAUAAAUAUAUAUUAUUAUAUUAAUAAUAUUAUAUUUUAUUAGUGGUGUCUAUAUCGUAUUCGUGUCCUAAUUUUUUAAAAACUACUGAGUCCCCGUGUGUCCUAAUCGUGUUCUGUCCUAUGUCAGUAUCCAUAACGCUUAUAUCUUCUAUCUAUUUGAUUCCUAAAAAAAUAGUUUUUCAAAAAAAUUUUCUUCAGAUUUGUGGAAAAAUAGUUUUUUUUUUGAAAUUUUAAUCUGAAAAAUGAAAAUAGUUGAUAAGAGUGUUUUGCAUAGAAAAAAAUGUAUUUGUCUAAAUAACAGAUGAAAAUGUUUAUUAAAGUUUUUACUAUAGCAAGGAUUUAAGAUGAAUUAACUCAUGGGAUCAAUUAGCAAACAAAAGAAUUAGCUAGAAUAGUUCUACCAAGGACUUUUAUUUAAAAAUGACCCUUAAAAAAAAUUAUAAUUGGCUAAAUGACCCUUCUAAAAUUUUAUUUAGCCAACUAAAUCGCUGCUUGCCAGCUCAUCACUAUAUUGGACAAAAAUGAGAAAGACGGUAAAUUAUUCAUCGUCUUUAGAAAGCACUGAAUUAUUCCCCGUUUUCAGAUUGUUAUUAUUGUUUAUAAUUUUUUAUUUUUUUUUUGUAUGGAUUGUGAGGAUCCUUAUGAAGUUGAUUAGGAAUGUAUGCAGAUUAUUAAAAUUUUUAUUUAAUUGUUGAAAUUUUUUUAGCUGUUGCGAUUGUAUGUGAAUUGCUGAAAUUUUUAUGUGGUUGAAAGAAUUCUAUAUAAAAAAUAGAAAGAAACAGUAAAGUAUUUAUCAAUUUUCUUUUGUAAAAAAAGCCAGAUAGUAAAUAAUUUAUUGUUUUUUUUUCAUUAAAGAUGUCGGGCGAUUAACAGUUUUUGAUUGGACAGUAUAUGAUUAUUCGUCCAAAUAAAAUUUUGAUAAAAUUAUUUGACAAAUAAUAAAUUUUUUAAUAAUUUAACCUUACUCUAUUUCCAAGUUGACACUCAUAAUGAGAUUUGAAUUAAACGGUAAAUUAUACAAUUCGCCCCCAAACUUCUACCAAAAUUUAUCUCUGUCCCUACUAUUUUAAAGUGAAUUUAAUAAAUUCUAAACCUUUCAUAAAUAUACCAAAUUGGCUCGUUUUGUCAUUUGUCGUUAAAACUAUUAAUAAAAAAAAUAACAUAAAUAUUAAAUAAAUAUUUUGUUUUUGAAGCCAAAUAUGCAACCAAAAUGCAAAUCAAAGCCUCAUCAUUUUACCACGCUAGUUGUGAGACCCCAGAUAGUCCUAUAUAUGAGAUAUAAUAGGGCUAAACUCUUAACCCGGUUUAAGCAUUUUGGGUGGUGGCAAGGCCCAAGAGGUUAAGAGAGUUAAGCGUGCUGGGACGGGAGUAGUCCUAGGAUGGGUGACCCCCUGGGAAGUUGGGGCGUCACAGAUGGUAUCAGAGCCAAUUACCAGUCGGAAGUGUGAGAUGACUCUCGGCUGAACCAGGGUCUGGAUGACGGGCUAGCGAGAUGAGUCUCACAUCGCCUGGUACUUGUGAGUCUGAGCCUGACGAGGACGUCAGGGCUUAAAGGAGGGGAGAUUGUGAGACCCCAGAUAGUCCUAUAUAUGAGAUAUAAUAGGGCUAAACUCUUAACCCGGCUUAAGCAUUUUGGGUGGUGGCAAGGCCCAAGAGGUUAAGAGAGUUAAGCGUGCUGGGACGGGAGUAGUCCUAGGAUGGGUGACCCCCUGGGAAGUUGGGGCGUCACACUAGUAGUUCAACUUCUCUUUUUAGGUAGGUUAAAUUAUACUUUGGUCCUCAAACCAUGUAGCGCGUAGCAUUUUAGUCCUGCAACUUUAAUUCAUUGUAAUUUCUGACUCGAAUUAUAAGACGCGUGUAGGGGUGAAAACGGAUCAUAUAUUAUCCACAAAUAUUCGUAUUUGUAUUCAAUAAUAUCCGGAUUUGAAUAAAAAAUAUUCGGAUCUGGUCGGAUACAGACGGAUAUGGUUUUAGAAAGUUAAAUUUUUUCUGAUAUCCGAAAAAAAAGGAUAUGGAUAUAGAUAUCUAGAAUUUUAGUAUUAUUAUUUUUAUAUUCUUUAUAUUUUUGGAUUCAUCCGGCCCAAUUUUGCUCGUUUGGUCCGCCCAAAUUUCUUUCCUCUAAUUCAUUGCCAACCAGGGCACUGGAGGUGAUUUUUCAUAUUAUUCGUUUAUUUUAUAAUCAAUUGUAUAUUAAAAUCAUAUAUUUUAUAUAUGAAGAAGUAUAGUUAGGGAACAAAGUAGAAAAAUAAAGUAAAUUUUUUGUAUAUGUGCAUAUAUAUUAUACAUAUCCAACCCACAUUCGAAUCCGAAAAAUAUCUGACCAUAUUCCAAUCUAUAUUUAGCGGAUGUGGUAAUAAAAAUUUAGCAUAUGACGUAUAUCCGUAUCCAAAAAAAAUCGUAUAGAUGCGAAUAUAAUUUCGUCAAAUAUCUGGCCGUAUGCAAUCCGUUUUCACCUCUGGAAGUGUGACACAAACUUUAAAACUUUUAUCUUUCUCUCCUCACUUUCUCUCUCUUCACUCUCUUUCUCAUCUCUUUUUUCGCUUUAUUUUUUCUUCAUUGUCUCUCUCCUCACCCCUUUCUCUUCACUUUCUCUCAUUUCUUUCAUUUUACUCAUUUUCGCUCUCGUCCUUUUCUCCCUCUCUCCUAGUUUCUUGACGGAGAAUGUCUAAAUGCAACAACUUGAAAUAUUGUGACACAUAGGAUACUUUGACAUUUGGUGAUAUUUUCUAAGUGAGAACCAUUGGUCGAGUCGAGAAUUCGGGUACUGGAUGAGGUAGAUGCUUUAUUUUGAACUCGGUAAAGUUGUAUUUUAUUCAGUAUUCUCUAAACUCAUUCUAUUCCUGUAACACCCAAAAUAGUCCCACAUAGGAUGGAAAUGGGGCUAUAAUUGAGUACAUAAGAGAUCAUAGACACUAACUAAUAAUCGGGCUUAAACAUUUUGAGUCGAUAAUUUAGACCCGAUGAGUUAUUAUUGUUAGCAGGUUGAGCUGUUACAUGUUGAGGGCCUUUCAAGAAGUGUAUAUGCAAAUAAUCAAAUUUAAAAUUUCUUAAUCCGCUAUCAGGGUAUUAUCUAAUUGCACUAGACAGCGGUGCUAGGUGAAACUAUUCAAUUUGGCCGUACUUAGGGCUGGCAAUCCAAGAUUUUAGUCCUGAAACUUUAAUUCAUUGUAAUUUCUAACUCGUAUUAUGAGACGUGUCACACAGACUUUAAAAUUUUCAUCUCUCUCUUUUCUCACUUUCUGUCAUUUCUUUCAUUUUUUCUUAUUUUCUCUCUCAUCUUUUUCUCUCUUCUCUCUCAACUAAAAACUUUAUAUGGGACUAACAUUUACUCUAUAUGAGAUAUUUCAAGACAAAUACAAUAUUUAACCCCCAACUUUUUUUCAAUCCCCCAACUUUAGGAGUUUGUGUGCAAUUUUAUUCUUUUGUAGGGACACACAUGCAACUAUCCCUACUCCUAUUUAUAUACUAUUUUCCCCUUUUAUUUUACCAUUUCCUCGUAUGACUCCAUUUCCCACCUCUCUCUCUCUCUCUCUCUCUCUCUCUCUCUCUCUCUCUCGCUUUUCGUUCGCACACGAAACUCUCCCUAAUCCCCCAAUCUCCGCCCCGCGCCGAUGAACGGCGGGCCCUCCGGAUUCCGUAAGCUCCGAUUUUCCCCUUCGCGAUCCUACCGAAACCCCUAAUCCCCUGCUUUUUCGAGGAAUUUUUCGCCAUUUUUUCCGAUUUUUUUGAUGCAAUUUUGACGCGGUUUCCCCUUUUCUUUGACCUAGACAAUGCUCCGGUCGCUAGGGCCUUCGUUCUCGCGUGCGUGCUCCUCACGGCCGUGUUUGGGGUUCGGGGACGGGCGCUGCGGCUCGGAUUGUCGUAUCAGGUAGAGGAUUCGUGUUCUUUUGACCUAAUUUGGUGUGUGUUUUGGGGGAUUUUUGUGCUUUUUUUAACCUAAAUUUGACGUGGGUGUUUGAUUUUGUCAUCUGAGUAGUUGGUGAAUUGGUGAAUUAAAGAGCUCAUCGACUUGUUUGUGCUCAAUUCCCUACAUUAGAUCCUCUUUUCAUGCUAUACAAUAUGCUUAUAUGUUAUGUGUGUAGCUAUGGGAAGGAAUUUAGGGAUCUAGUUAUCUAAGGAUCGCAGAAAAUAGAGUAAAUUUUGCGUUUGGUUUGAGUUUAUACUGAGUGUUUGUAGGGAUUAGAAGGAUAAUUGCGAUGUUAAAGUGUGUCCGUAAUAAUCAGAGUCAUAACUGAGUAUGUAAUGAGAAAUUGAGGAUGGUGUGGCACCAGUGGUUGGGUGGACGAAUUUUGUGAGGAUAGCUUCUUUUUCCUUAGGUUAUCCUUUAUUGUAUGAUAAUUGAGAACAAAAUCAACAUUUUCAUUUGGUUUUAGAUUUUAGGAGUAUCUGUAAUAGUUCAGCAAUAGUUAUAACAAUAAAAUAGAGAUAUACCAGUUAUGGGGAUUACUGCGGAUAACUAGGGAUAAUGAGGUAUGAAGUGGGGGAUGGGAGAUAGGUUUUUCUUGUAUUCUUGUUGGCGGGUGAGGUUUUUCUUGCCGUGAAUUAGGUAUGGGUUUUUGAUUCUGUCAUCUCGGUAGUUGAUGGAUUGGUGACUUGCAGAACCUAUUGACCUGUUUUGGUUAAUUCCCUAAAUUAUAUUUCUUUUUAUGCUAUGUAGUAAUAUGUUUGGAAGUUUUAUGCAAUAUAAGAAUGGAGUUGCCCAAGUUGUGUAGCUCGAAUAACUAGGGAUGAAAUGAGGGUUAGCAUGUUUCCAGGGGUUGUGUGGUGUUUGGAUAAAUUCUGUGAGGUUAUUUUCUUAUUCCUUAGGUUAUUUGCUAUCCUAAGAUAAUUGAGAACAAAGUCAAAUUACUGUUUGGUUUAGAUUAUAAGAGUAUCUGUAACAAUUACGUUGAUGAUUACAACAAUAAAAGAUAGUUUGAUCGGUUAUGGAGAUAACUAGCGAUAACUAGGGAUAACUAAGGGUAAAGUGUGGAUAGCUCUUUGUUGACAUGAGUUUUUCUUGUGCUCUUGUUGGUUGUAAGGUUUUGCUUGCUUUAAAUUAGACGUGUCUGUGGAUCGUUGAUGAAUUGAUGAUUUUACAGAACCCAAUGACUGUUGUAGUCAAUUGAUUCCGGGCAGACUUUUUACCCUGACAUAGAUUCUAUUUUAAUGUUGUUCCCUUGGAAGUUUGCUGUAGCAUGGGAUGAACAUACAGACUAAGUUUUAGAUGCAUAACUAUGUUCAUUUUUGCAUUAUAUUUAAAGGGCAUCUUCACCUCAGGUACAAAUUAUUUGGAUUCAGCUAGAAACUUUUCUCUAUUCUUGUAGAAGUCCUUGGAAAUUAAGAAAUGGAUGGGCAAACAUAAAGGGAUGGUGAGUUAAUGUACAUAAGCUAGCACAAUUAAUUAGUCGAACAACAUUUUUAGUUUGUCCCGUUAAUGGUUAUUAUGUUCUUGCACGCAUAAGAUUUGCUAGUUAAAUGAUUAGUGAGAUCAAUUUUAUAUUGUAUAUAUGUUCUGUUGGUAGUAGAAGAUGAUUUGCAAAAGGAAGCACCUGAUGAGAACAACAUUUGACUUAGAAAAAAACUUUCUAUUAUCACCAUGGGGAAUAAAAUUCUGUUUGUAAUGAAGCUCCAAUUGAAUAGUGAAUGCAGUAAAAUUUUCUCCAAGGUAGUAUCCAUGUAUUCCUUUUUGUCACUUUUACUCUGGUACUUGGACACCUUAUAUAGAUUCUAGAUAGCGUGAAUUAUCUACUGGGUUCACUUGGUAAGAUGGAGAUUCACGUUCUACGCAUGGUUCGGGGAUGUUUGUUUGACUUUGGCGGUAAUAGUGGUCUAUGAAUUAAAUUGUUGUAUAUUACCAUCUACCAAAUAUAAUAUUCCAUGUCUGACUCUGUUCGUGUUUCAUAUUCAAGAAAAUUCUCUUUUUUUAAUACUCUCUCUCUCUCUCUCUCUCUCUCUCUCUCGCUUGUGCAUGCACACACACACACACAUUUGUAAAACUUGGUAUGCUAUAUGGAUAGUUGGUUUUUCUGGUUUAAAUACAUCCUUAUUGGCUAAACACUUAUUGGUGAAAUAUGUUUGUAAUUUCCAUUUGUAACUUUUUGUGACGAGUGAAAAGUUGGUUUUUAUGGUUUAGAUACAUCAUUGGUUGCUAUCCAUUUCCCAUUGUAGCUUAAAUACUAAGAAUUAAUCACUAGUUGAGGGGAAUCAUUACGGUAUUAUGUAUUUCAACUGAUGCAUAUAAUUUUCUUAGUUUUCAUGAAGCAGUUUAUCUGAACUAGUGUUCUUUGUUCAAAAUAGAUUAUUUAUUUAUAACAAUUGUUUAUUGUGCUAGACCGAUAGGAGAUUUUUUUCUCUAUUGGAGUCUAAUUUUGUGGCUUCAAAAUUUAGUAGUACAGUAAGGUUUAUCUUCAGAACCAAUUUGGACAGUAGAUUUUGGUAGCUUCAUAUUAAUCUCAUUACCAAAGAUAUUUUAGUUGAUAUUGUCUUAAUAUUUAAUAAAGAAAUUAGAACAAUUACAUGAUUUUUGGUUUCUAUAAUGUUGAAACUUUUAAGUAAUUAUUUUUUUGUAAGACAUAAUGGAAGUCAUAGAUUAUAAGUGUCUUAGUUGAUAAAACAUUAUUUAAUAACUGAUAUUUUCCUAGUUUGCAAGUGCCUUGGAACUUAAGAAUUCUUAGCACUUAAACCUCAAGAAUAUAAAUACUUUAGAGUUUGUCUUAUCAUCUGUCCUAGGUACUCUUGACGGUAAGUUGCACUCCAAUUUAUCAUUGAGGAGUGCCAUGGGAUGUCAUAUUAAAUCCAGGUGUUUGAAUAUGUUGACUCCUGUAAAUCCUGAAAGUCAGUUUCCCACUUAACCCUUUAGUUCUUAUGAUAAUGAGGUGAUGAAAAUUUUUAUUAGGUUAGGAGUGAAAUGAUAUUGGUUAUUAAGUUAGUGGAUAAUUGAUAAGUUCAGUAAAAUCUUGGAGGAUUGGAGUAUAGGGUGUCAUUCAUUGCGUCAAUUGGGAUUUGGGAACCGUUGCCUAUUAGUCUCUGGUACAUUUUUUUUCUUUUUAAUGAUGUUAUGUUAUUUCCUUCAGAAUUUGCACUAUGCAUGUAAUAUUUGUCACAAAGUGACAGUUUCAGUUAUAUUAAUAUUGUAACGUUUCGCUUGUGGCAGGAUAUUAUAAAAACCUUCCAGUUAUGGAGGAUUUUUGCAUCAGUAUUUGCGUUUUCGUCUACACCAGAAUUACUGUUUGGAGUAUACUUGCUUUAUUAUUUUAGGGUAUUUGAGAGGCAGAUGGGCUCCAACAAAUACUCAGUAAGUAAUAGGCCACUGAAAAGAAUCUUCGGCACACUGACAUAAGUUGUCAUGUGACUUGUUUAGAUGUGUCCUUUUCGAUAAAAGCUUGUUUAAAUGUGUUCUAAUUGAACAAAUAUAGUACUUCCAUUCUGUUCUCCUUAAAAGUUACUUUAUGGAUAGCAAACAUUGCUUGGUACUUCGACGACUUUUUAUUUCUUAGUCAUCUUGUUUAUGCACAAGUUUUAACCAUCUGUUUUCGGACUGUUUACUUGAUGUAUGUUGAAUUUGCAGGUCUUUGUGUUAUUCUCGCUGAUAGUAUCUUCGCUAUUUGAGAUUAUAGCUUUGAUGCUUUUUAAAGGUAUAGUUGUUUCUUAGUUUGCUAACCUACGCAAAUCAGCGUUAUAUGAUAAUCUUGCCUACUGAAAUAAUAAUGCCUUUUUGCCUUUUUGCUUACUGAAAUACACCUUUCUUUCCUUCAACUUUUAGUUAUGUAUUAUAAAUUCAAUAUAUUGUAUAAUACUUUUCUCUUCUAAGCGAUUGUAGAACCUUUUGACAUUCUAUCUUGCACAUAAACUUAGUUGAAAUAAUGGUUUUUCUUUUUCCUUUUCAUAGAUCCCACGGCAAACGUAAUUGCUUCUGGGCCUUAUGGUCUCAUAUUUUCAUCAUUUGUGCCCUUUUAUUUUGAUAUUCCUGUUACAUCACGGUUCCGCAUAUUCGGCUUACAAUUUGGCGACAAGUCAUUCAUAUACCUGGCUGGCCUUCAGGUUAUUGUUGUUUCCAGAAUCUCGAUAUUUUUAGGGGCAGUUUAUGUUAUUGUUAAUUACUCCGUGUUCUCUCUCCUGCUAUCAGCUUCUCUUGUCGUCCUGGAAAAGGUCACUUUUACCUGGCCUAUGUGGAAUGCUGGCUGGCGCCCUAUAUCACCUCAAUGUAUUUGGCAUUCGCCGGAUAAAGGUAAUUAUAAUUAAACUCAUUUUACUGUCUAUGUUACUUCAUUCCACUUACUUUUACAGCAUCAUGUCCUGUGGUAACUUCCUUAUAUUUUCUGCUUUAGAAAUUGGAACACUGUUGACAACCGAGGAACAUGAGGUUUCAAUUAGAUAUAUAAAGAGAGUAUAAAAUUAUACUUUUUGCAUGACUAUUUUAUUGGCAGUGAAUUCUUUUCUUUUGUUCUCAGGUUGCUUGUAGAACCUUAAUCAGCCUUUUUAGCUACUUGAGCAUAAAACUCCUGAGAAAAUCAGUCUAAAAUUUAAUACAAAAGUAUUUGACAUCAACGCGCGAGCUGAAUAGCACAAUAGAAAUGUAAAAUGCUUUUAAUCAAAGAGCACAAAAUGUGAGAUAAAGUGGUCUACAUCAGAGGACCUUAGCUUUUGUGGAAUUCUGUUGAUUACUUGUUCGAAAGAAACAAAAAGCUGUGAUGAGGGAAAUGCAAUGGUCUCUGAACCUCGAUUUUCUUCAUUUCAUACCAAAACCACAUAAAAGAACCAACACAAUUUAGAGAAAAGAAAAGAGAAAAUUUUGAAGACUUGAAAAUUCAUGUUGAUUAUGUUUCACAUGAAAACAAAUGUACGGUAAAGUGAACUAUGGCUAUACUUCAUUAGAGUUAUAUAAGCAAGGAUUUAAGUGCCUAUUGGCAUAGGCCGUGUCCACUGUAACAUACCAUGCUGACAAGAUAUCGCAUGAUAUGACCCCGUGCCGAUGGCGCGGCACAAUAUUCUCUUUUCUUUGAAAUUAGCAAGUAGCUGUCUGGAUAAAGUGCAAAAGAUUUAAUAAAGAUAUACCAUAAGCAAUAAAAUAUAUUGGUGCAAAAAAAGAAAAGAAACGUUAUGCCAAUGUGUGUCGGUGAUAGGCACGCAAGUACUUUUUGUGACAUGGAUGCAUCGGCACAACACGCACCAUGCCAUACCGCGCCAGCAAGUUUUUGGCGCGAUCCUGUUCCACGGCACUUAAAUCUUUGUUUUUAAGGUUUCUUGUAAUGUUAUUAUCACUGUCUUAUGCAGUUCUUAUUCAUGAUCGUUGAACCUGGUCGAACUGGGUUGAACUUUACGUUUAGUACUAGAAAUAUCUCUAUAGCGACAAGUUAUGUGCGGCAUUCCGAAUGGAAAUCAUCAACUCCACUGUAGAAGGGUUUAUACAGCUUUUGUUGCUUUACAUGAAGACAUAGACGAACUGCUAAAGAUUUUAAUUAUAAUUGUCGAUAACAAAAGUGAUUCAGGUUAUAUUCUUGAUCUGUGAAUACAAAUUACUUGCUUGAAAGUUUCCGUGUUGCCUUAGACCGACAAUGAUUGUUUCAUCUGCGGUCUUUUCUCAAAAACAAUUAAGAAUUCUCUUGUUAAUGAAAAUAUAAUGUGAUUAAUAAUCCCACAGUUCCCAAACGCCGUGGCGAGACAUUUCUCAAGGUUUUUCGCAUCUUCUGGGGCAAGCUCAUCGCGAACGUCACCAAAUGGGAAUAUUGCAGGAAAUAUUUCUUCUUUCACCGGCCGUCAAACUCAGGCAAGUCUUCUUACUUUCUAUCAAUAGUAACACACUAUCCGUGAAAGCUUUUAUCGCACAUAUUAUGCAUCUUUCGAUUGCUCCGAGAAAUCGUCUUAUUUCCCUGAUUCGCUUGCAGCGAAAUUAUCCACCUGUGGCACGUGCGCCUCCUCCAGAGCCACCUGAGUCUUCUAUCGCUAUGCUGGUAUCAAUGGGAUUUGAUAGCAACGCUGCGAGGCAGGCACUCAUGCAAGCCAGAAAUGACAUCAACGUGGCCACAAACAUCCUUCUAGAAGCGCAGUCGCGGUAAUCAAAAAUAGACAACAACGGUGGGGUUCUCUUACAAAUUUUCAUACGUCGAAAUCGGAUCAACUGAGUUAACACAGAACUAGGUGGAUCGAUAGAUGCUUCGUCCUUCUCCAGCGCUAGAAUCUGAUUACGUUAGGUUCGAGAUUGCAUUCAUCGGAGUUAAUAGUCGGUGCAAUCGUGUGUCGCAUAGACAUGGAUAUUUAGUAUACUUUUCUCGAUUUCGAAUGCAAGAUAGUGAUGGGUUCUGAUACUGUAGUGACAUGAGACAAUGCUUUAGCCAUCAUGUAAAAUUCUUUCUUAGAGGCUUAAAAGGACUUAAAAUCUUUUCCGAAGCUCCAGUUUACAAGAUGGUGAAUGUCUUUCUUCAAUUAGAUGGUGUAAUUCUGAGUUACUUAUUGCUUGUGAGGCGCGUUCGUAGUCGUUGUCGCUGUUUUACUGCAUUAAUUUGUCAAUUGCCUCCGUCGUCGAUGUGCUCGUAGAAUAUUGGUCAAUAUUGUUUGCAGUUGCUUUUAGUUAUUAUUGACUUUUAUCUCGCAGUCCCUUUCUCUUAUUAAUCUCUAUUUAUAUUUCCUUAGAAGCUUUUUUUUUUUUUUUUUUUUUUUCUUCUUUCUUUGGGGGGGGGGGGGGGGGAGCGAGGAGGACCGAGCUGAUGCUCGAGCGAGGCUUACACCGCUCAAGCUUGGCUUGAAAUUAAUUUCGAGCCUAAAUUUAGCCUCAAGCUCAGCUUGAAAUUAAUUCGAGCUGAGCUUGAGCGAGCCUAAUUUCCAGUCGAGCGACCUCGAGCCCUAAACGAGCCGCUUGAAAUUUUUAAUAUCGUACGAUCAAUAGUUUAAUUCAUACAGAACAUUAUCUACAAUUUGAUAUAAAAAUAUAUCUAAUAGUUCAAAAUAUAAAAUAAUUAUAUAAAAUACGGUAUUAUAAUAUGAGGAAAAAUAAUUUAUGAAUUGAAUAUUUAAUCUUUUUAACCUUGUAUGUUUUUACUUCCGCCUUCAAUUUUCAUAUUAUUCCUUUUAAUCCAUGCGGUCAAAAAUAAAUAAACUAUAUAGCGAAAUAUUGAAUUACACUAUCCAAUCAUAUAUGACUAAAAUUAAAAUUUUGUAUAAAUAAUAUUUUUAUUUGAAAAAUAUUUUAUAUAUUUUCUUAAGCACACAACUAAUGGCAAGGUUGGUAACAUCGGGCGCGUGUUAUUACUUGGUAACUUGGAGAGCUUCAGGCUUAGCCGCUUGGUGUGUGUGAGAGAGGGAGAGAGAGAGAGAGAGAGAUACUAGGGCCCUGUGAAAAAAAAAGAGUGAGAGUAUGUAAAUUUAGGAAAAUUUUACCUUUUUGUUGGCAUAUUGAGUUUGUUUUUAUGGGCUGACAAUAUAGGCCCAAUUUUAACUAAAUUCAGAUUCUCACUCAGCCUACAUAUAAUUAAUAUAUAUAUAUAUAUAUAUAUAUAUAUAUAUAUAUAUAAUUAUAGUAUUUAUAGUCCGGCUGGGUAUCUAUCGAUGCACCAAGGAUUUGGGUGCUAUCGAGUUUCUAUGUAGAUAGGUAUGCUUUGCAGUAUUUUUUACCCGGUUAGAUUAUACUAUUAACAAUUACUCACCGAUCCUUAGGAGGUAAUACAUCUACACUCUUUUUUAACAAUGGCUAAAAUUUCAGUGCACAAUUAGAUUGUGCUAUGAGUUUUCGCGUAGUUUAUAUAUAUCAUAGAGAGAGAGAAGGUUGGACUGGGUAUAUUUAGUAGCAAAAUCCAUUGUUUAGCUUACCAGUUUUUAGUUUGGAUCAAUGCUUUUCAUCAUUUCUAACCAUUGGAUUAAUACUAUAACCCAGUGGGGACAUAACCCUAGGGGGCACUAAACUCUAAUGACUAAUAUUCAUCCUAACCCUAAAUUUUCAUCCAAUGGGCUAAAGAUUGAUAGUCAAAAGAAGGGUUUACUAGUAAUGUUAUUCGUAGUUAUUAUAGUAUAUAUAAUAUAUUAUAUACUAUAUAUAUAGUAUAUUACUAUAUGUAUAGAGUAUAUAUAUAUAUAUAUAUAUAGAGUUGAUCUAUGAUACUUUUACAGUAUAUCCCCAUGUUGCUAGUCACUUUUUAGCCCUGUGGUAUAUUUUUUGAUACAAAUAGCCCUGGAUCAACCUAUUUCACUACCUACAUCCUACCACUACCCAUCAUCUCACCUACAUCCUCAUCAGGGCUAAAACACACAAGUAUCACUUGGGUGAUACUUGUAAAAGUAUUCUAGCCCCUAUCAUCUCUCUCUUAUUAUAUAUAUAUAUAAUUAGGCUACUGAUACUAUUUGAGUACCCGGAGUCUGAGUACUAUAGUCUUGUUUAUCGUCUUAAGGUGUUCAAUUAACGCUCCACACUGUUAAAUUGAUCUAGAGAUAUGAAGUCUUAGCAAAUAAAUUUUAGUUUUUUUCGACAUCGUACUUAGUAAAUAAAUUAUGUCAAAAGCGGGUGAAAUUGAAUAAUUUUCAAAUUUGGCAUGCACUUUUAAUUCAAGAUCAAGAUGUUAACCUUUAAUUAGAUAGUUUAACUAUUUCUAUCAAAUUAUGGAAGAAUUUAUUCUUCUGACGUUAAACUCCAAACUCGAAUAACUAGCCAUUAAAAUAUGACAAUUUUGAAAUGGUUUGAUAUAAAAUAGAAUUAUGGCGAAAAAAUAAAAUUUUAUUUCUAAACUUUAAACCCUAGAUCAAGUUUUAACGGUGUGGAUCGUUGAUUUGAACACGUAAGAUCGAAAUGAGAUUAUAUCUACCGAACCCCCCCGGUAAUAUAGAUAGUAUAGGACGCAGCGGCUAUAUAUUACUAUAUGAGAGAGAGCGGAGACUAGGAGAGGGAACUGGAGAGAUUAGAGAGAUGAGAGAGAGUGAGCUGGAAGCUAUCGGGGGGUGCAAACUCGGCUUUCGUUGUCACCGUUGUUUUCGAUUAUUGGGAGCCUUUAAUAUGACGAUCGGGCACGGUUGAAUUGAGCUAUACCUUAAAGUAUUUAGAAACCAAAUUUAAAUCAUUUCGACAUCGAUUGAGCCUAAUGAUCAAGCGUUUCAAAUUUGUAAUUUUAUUCAGGUAGAUAUGAGGCGUUUUCUUACUUUAAGCGGUGUAAAACUAAUAAUCAUUGAUUUGGUUAGAAAAUUCUUUAGAACUAUUUAAAUAGAAAUCUAUACUCGGUCGAGUUGAUUACAAAUGCCUAUCGUUCACUUUUAGAGGAAUUCAAUUUCAGCGUUCAUUUUUACGCACUUGAUGGACAAGGAGAACAAUAUCGGAAAACAUAAAGAUUUGAUUUCUAGUAUCUUCAGUGCGAUCUGGAUUUGGAUUGCUACAUCUCGAAAAGGUAUGACAAUGAGCCCGUUGCUACGAUGAGUAUUCUAGCUAACUUAUAUAUAUAUAUUAUUAUAGAGUUGAGUCUAUGGAUACUUUUACCAAGUAUCACCUCAUGGUGCUUAUUAGGUGUUUUAAGCCAUUGGAUCUUACUUUUUUGAUAUUAAUAGCUCCUUGUGAUAAGAACUAUUCACCUGACACACCUCACCUAUCUCAACCUAUCAUCUCUCCAUCAAGGGCCUAAUAAACAACACAAAGUAGCACACAUAUGACUUUUAAGUAUUUCGGAGCCUAUCAUUAUAUAUAAGAUAUAUAUAAUUAUAUAUAUUAUAUUCAAGCUUCACUUUGUUUUCGAUGUUCGGACUUCGAUCGACGAGUCGUCCGUGUAGAGUUGAUCUAGUUUUUAAGUACAAGAAAUUAAUUUUUGCGAUUUUUCGAUAUAUUUGCCUAGUGAUCGAAGGGGAUCAAAAUCAAUAAUUUAAGGGCCGUGGUGAGCUGUUGGCAGUUUUAACGGUUUUGGUUGUUAGAAAUAUCAAAUCCGUGAAAUUUGAUAGAAUUCUUAUAUACCAUUAUAAACAAAGACAAUAACUUUAUGAUCUAAAAUUUUUAAUGUCAUAUCAUCAUAUUUAGUGAGAUGUUUUAUUUUCAGCCGUUGUGAUUUGGAGCUCAUUCAUCACUAGGAAAUGAUAUCGAAAGAUCGCAAAUUUGAUUUUCUAGCAUUAUUUCAAAUACUCUAUAUUCAAGUCUAACGAGAGCGGAUCGUCGAUUUGAAAUCGCCAACAUCGAAACAAGGGAAGAACGGAGCGCUCGUGCUUUCCCAAAGACCACAGAGCACGUUUAAUAUAUAAUAUAGUAUAUAUAUAGAUAUAUUAUUUAAUAUUAUUCAAGAUUUUUCGAGGCCUUAAUUCGACCUUUGUGAGCCCGAGAAUACUCAAGCCAGCUUGGAAUGAAUUCCGAGAUUUUUUUUUUUUUGUGUUCAAGGCUCGGGCUAUUAAUUUCAAGUCGAGAUAGUGGGCGAAUAUCGAGGUCGAAACGAGCGGCUCGCUCAUUUGCAGGCCUGUUGUGGCGGUGGAGCGGAGGGCGACAUCUCUAAUGUUUUUUUUUUUUUUUUUUUUGUUUUUAUGUUUUUUUUUUUUUUUUUUUUUUUUUUUUUUUUUUCUUUUUUUUUUCUAUACUCCUUGGGAGUGAUCAAAAUGCCUUACUUUGAUUUUAAAAAAUCCUUCAAUUUUAAAACUCUUAUUAGGGCUAUAAUGAAUUGGAGUAUAGAAGAGUUUUUGAUAAUUUCAUCUGUUUAAAAUUUGAAUUUUAAAUUUUUUCGGGUUUGAUCAGGAUCUCUCUUAUUCACUUUGGUUAUGACUCUCUGACAUGGCUCUUCAUUUAUGUAUACGGGUCGAGGAUGCUACUUGUUAGGCAGCCUAUUGGUUCCUGGUUUGUAAUUUUUAAUAAUUAUAUUAUAUUUUUUAUUAAAAUAUUUAAAUCAUAUUGGUAAAAUUAUGUUUGGGUAGUUCUGUAAAUAGUGUUGACGAUAGUAGUAAUUAUUGUAGAUUCUCAUCGGCAGAAUUAUUAAAUUUAUUAUGAGUAAGAGGUAGCUAUUUUUAUUUUGUGUACAUAAUAAAAUUAUUAGUAGUUCAUUAUAAGAACAUAUAGUUUUUAACAACUUUCUAAUUUGAAAUGGUUUGAAUAAGAUUCGAGUAACAUAUUUGCGUGCGUAAUCUAAGAAUUAUAGCACAGUUUUUUCGCAAUCUUUACUAAUUUUAAACCAAAAUUGGGUAAUAAACUGUAUAAUCACAUAGCAUCAAUAAAAUUAGUACAUAAGAUUUGGGCCCAUUGGCAUAUUGCAAUUUACAAAGAAGAAUAUUAAGUUUAUUAGGGGUAAUGCAAUCUUUAAUCCUAUUCCUUGGUUUCACACAUUGGUUCUUAUGUUUAGUAUCUAUGGCGUUUAAUGUGCAUUCAUUUAGUCAUAAGUAUGAUUUCAUUUUUGUCUUUUUAUUUUAAUUUACUAAUUUUUUUUUCAUUAAAUCAGUACAACGUUUAUAACGUAAACGGUACUAAAGUGACUAUUUGAUAACAUCUUAGAUAGGAUAUCGGGAAGUUUUUGUGAUAUAAAGAUUUAACGAGAAUAUUAACGACAAAGUUGACAAAUUUAACGAAAUUUAACGAAAAAUGAGAAAGCAUAAAAUAAAAUCAGGAUAUACUUGUUACACUUUAAACAAUAGGGAUACUAAGUGAGAACUAUGCGACCACGAAGGUGAGUAUUGAAAGUUUGCAUUUAUGAUUAGUUUUACCUUUAUUAAUAUUUUUUUUUUUUUUCCUCUUCCUUUUUUUCAGAAUACAAUUCAUUCCUCUCACCAACCAAAAAAGCAGCUAAAGAAGUAAUAAACAUCUCAGCAAUUCUAUAUACAAUUUCGCGAAACAGUUUCAGAUUCUUCUUUUAAGUUCAAACACAAACUUUAAGAUGCAAAUCCACUCGAGAAGAAUCGGAGCUUCGAGAACGAAGUUAAAAUUAGUGUUGCUGAAAGUAGAGCAUUCUAAGUGCCCUCCCCAUCCGCGGUGUAGACCGGAAUCUGCCAGUUCUUGUUGUUCUUCUUGGGGUCAUCUGUCAGGUACAGAUCAUUCUCAUCUUCUCUGAAUGUCUUCACAAAUGUUUUCGCGCCCGACAUUACCAACCUCUCCACUAUAAAUAGCUGGUAAUUGUUCUCGAUCACCGGGUCUAAUAUCUCGCUGAAAUUCGACGAAUAUGCUAACCUAUACCUGUAUUAAAAAAAGAAACCAUAAGAUCGAAAAUACUAGCAUUUAAUGAACAACUUCAGAAUUGUUGCGACUGUAACAAUACUAUUUCUGCAUCUUGGAAAGGAGAAUGCUUGGUUUUCAAUUCAAAGUGUCUAAUUCAAUUCAGGAAAAUUAACUCGAAUCAAUGAAUCAACGGUUGAGAUGUCGAUCAGGAGAAGAAUGGCGGGUAUUUCUGAGUUUCAGUUCAGUGAAAGUCAUAACCUGGCAGACAGUGGGGAAAAGAAGCCCGGCGUCCUCUCAUUCGAAGCGAUGAAUAUCGUCCGUCCUGGAGCAAUCCAUUUCGCUAUUCUCCGUUGAAUGGAUUCUGGGCGGGUGUCCCUGUCGAGGUGCGGAUGAAGGGUUCUGACGACUCCGAAUUCAUCUUUCCUGGUCGCCAUUUUGUCCCCUCUCCGCACGUGAACGGCGUCGUAAUCACGGAGCAAAGCUUCGAUCUGCAAAGACUACUGCAUGUUGUUAUGAUAAGAGGAUUUCGAGCUGUUUGAGCGUUUAAUUUGUACGAUUCACAGUACAAAAUAAUCGAAGGAAGCAAACAACUUAUGCCGCAUUGAUAAACCAGCAUGCUCUAGAACAGAUAUUGAUUUGGUGAUAAACGAUACCUUUUCUGCCGCAUCUCUCAAUCUUCUACUUGCCAUCCUCGGCAGAAAAGAGUACGGCAGCAUUACGGAGCUGCGAUUCGCUCGAUCCUUGCACUCCGUGAACCUAAAUUUUAUUACCACGAUCAAGACUAGCUCUUCAAUAGAUCUUUUACGACUCAAGCAUUAAAUCGAAGCCCCAAUCUUCGUCACCUGUAUCAUUUUACUACACUUUGAACUGCAGUGUACAAAGUAAAAUCGAGAUUUUACCAUGCCAGAGGACUCGCCGUGCGGUUUAUGAGCAGAACAUCGGAGUACAUGCACUUCUCUUUGAGCUCCGCCCGGCUAAUUCCCUGUACAUGGGCUAUCCCCCGCUUUCCGAGCCUCGUACUUUUCAACAGUAUCUGAUACCACGCCUUCGAAUUGUCCAAAAUCACUGGAACUGUUCGCGAAAUCAGGUCUAUAUCAUACAAAGAGUCCAUCGCGCAGAAAUUUGCUUCCCACCUACAGAAGAUUGAAUUCUACUCAUUAUUCAUCAACACUUCAAACAAUGCAUUCAAAGCUCUUUGCGGCGCAUUGCAGUAAAAUAGGCUAAGUUUAGCGAGUUUAUUGGCAAAUCUUUCGUAAUCACGGAAUUUUCACGAAACCGGACACGAGACUAGCACUGUUUCAGAACAUUCGUGGGAACUGCACUGAAUUGGGCAGAGACCUGUCCUCUGAGCUUCCAUUGUUGGAUCGGCGGCGGAGAAUCCCCUUCUUGUUAUGUAUUGGAUUAAUGCACAUUCUGGAAGGCAUCACAAACACUCUGGAGAAGUUACUGAAGUUAGUAAGCAAAUAAUAAGAUAUAGUAGUAGAACAUAGCAAAUGAAUGGAGCUGAAAAAGAAACUAAAAUCAUGAGACAUUGCUAAUCCUUGCAAAGAGUGGAAAUUAUUGCAUUGUCACUUGUAAAAGGUUUCAAUUCUCUAUCUCCGUCAAGUUGUGAAAUGUCGCAGAUUCGUCCCUACUAGUUGAACUAGUAUUAGCAACUUGUUGGGUCCAACCAUUGGUUCAAAAUGCACUAGUCCAGUAAUUGAUAAUUUAAUACUAGAGUGAUUAUUACUCCUUAUAUAUCCAAAUAAAAUCCAUUUACAUCCAAUAUAGGAAAUAUUACAGUGUUGAAAUAAUGCGAUGCUGCACCUGCCUUCUUACUGUAACAUACUAGUCCACUAAGGGGCUGUUUGAGUGCAUGUAGUUGCAACUGCAAAUCCGACAUUUUUCGUUCGAUGCGUUUGAAUCCAACUAUCGCAGUUGGAACUGCAUGAGGAUGCCCAACUGCAGUCUGCAGCAGUUAGAGAGAGCAACUUCAAACAAGAGGUAAGCUUACGUCCUUAAUUUUUUUUUUUUAUAAUAUUAGAGGUAAUUUCACCAUUAUAUAUAUAAAGUGAUAAAAUUUUACAAACACAUCUCUCAACUCCAUGCAACCAAAUAAAUUAUUUAUAAUUGCAGCGGUUUCUACUACAUACAUCUAAACAAAAUAUAUGUAGUUGUAACUGCAUGCAUCUCUAACAACACUGCAUUUCUAAUUACAUUAAACCAAGCGACCCUGAUAUUGGCGGCUUGUUAAACCUAUAUCAUCAGCGCAAACACUUAAGCCCAAGUUAUUAAUACUAUACACACAAAAGCACUAAUAUUAGCAACAUGCUGGGCCCAAACUAUGGGCCUAAAAUACUUAGUCCAAAUUAUUGGUAUUAGAAUACCUAGUCUCCUUAGAUCUUGAUAUUCUUGUCACACAUAGUCAAGGAUCAUCGAGCGAUAUGAUCCUCGACUAUGAUACAAAAUGUAACGAUUCGGCCGACUAGUAUCAGCAAAUUUGUUGGGCCCAAAUCACCGGCCCCCCCAAUGCUUAAGCCAAUAAUAAUGCUUACAAAUUGCCCAAGCCCAACCAACUAAUAAUAGGGAUGCAAAUGAACCCCUAGGUUGAUGGAGCUCCCGCUCCGAUCAGCCUCGAAUGCGAUGGUAGGUGGGGCCAAAAAUAAAAAAUUGCCCUCUCCGAAUCCGCCCUGAUCCGUAAUAAAAUGGAGAGAAAGAGAGAGGUGAAGGAUCCCUUCCUUCCUUGCUUGAUGCAUCCCGAUUCAAUAAAAAUCCACCAAGAACUCGCUUUCGCUCUAACUCAUUCCGAAUGGAGCGGUAGGUAGGAGUCAAAAAUAAAAUAAAAAUUAACUCAUUCAUAAUCUAUAGUAUUCUAGCCCGACUCUAUAUAUAAAAAACAAUAUUAUAUAUAUAUAUAUAUUAUAUAUAUAUAUAUAUAUUAUAUAUAGAGAAGAGAGAGAGAGAGAGAGAGAGAAGAAGAGAGACUAGUCUCCUAUACUAUCUACAGUAUCAGCUCCGGUAUCUAUAGUCCCGUUUCGAUGUUCGGGUGUUCAAAUCAACGAAUCCACACCAUUAAGGCAUUGAUCUAGGAUAUUUAAAGUUUUUAGAAAUAAAAUUUUAUAUUUUUUCGACAUAGUUUACUUUAUGAUCAAAGCAUUUCAAAAUUGUCAAUUUUCAAUGGUUACUAUGGUGAGUUUGGAGUUUAACGGUGUGUUAGAGAGAAUCCAAAUUUCUUCAAAUUUUGAUAGAAAAUAUUUUAAACUUUCUAGAUUAAGGUUACAACUUUCUUGAUCUUGAAUUUAAUGCUCAAAUUUUAAAAUAUUCAAUUUCCACCUUCAUUUUGACAUAUUUAUUUACUUAGUAAACAAUAUCCGAAAAAAUUAAAUUUUAUUCCUAAACUUCAUUAUACCCUAGAUCAUAUUUAACGGUAUGAAUCGUUAAUUUGAACACUCUAAGAUCGAAAACAAAGAUAUAAGUACCGGAGCUCGGUACUAUAGAUAGUAUAGUAGCCUUAUCUAUAUAUACUAUAAUAUAUAUAUAUAUAUAUAUGUAUAUAUAUAUAGAGUGAGUGGAAUACUAUCGUAACAAACAGGGCUCUCGUUGCGCACCCAUUGUUUUCGCAUUGAUGGAGCCUCCAAAUCGACAUCUGGCGACUGUUGAAAAUGAUACAUAUACCACUUGGAGAUAUCUAGAAAUCAAAUUUCAUACUGUUUCAUAAUAUUGUUUUCUUGCCUGCUCAUCAAGUGGGCGUAAAAAUGAAUGGCUGAAAAUGAAUAUCAUCUAAAAAGUGAUGAUAGAAUUUUGUAAUCAUGAUCGAGAGUAUAGAUCUUGUUCUAAAUAGUUUAAAGAAUUUUCUAACCAAAAUUCAAUUGAUUUGGAUAGCUUUAUACCGUUAAACGAGAAAACCCCUCACAUCAACCAUUAAAAUUACUAAUUUUAAAACCUUUUGAUCAUUAGGUAAAUGAUGUCGAAAAGAUUUGAAAUUUAAUUUCUAAAUACUUCAAGUGAUAUAGAUCAUGUUCAAUGGUGCCGAUCGUCGAUUUGAAAGCUCCAUCAUCGAAAACAAAUGGGUGGCAACGGAGCCCGUUUGCUACUGAUAGCAUUCCAGCUCAACUCUAUAUAUAUAUAUAUAUAUAUAUAUAUAUAUAUAGUUGAACUAGAAUACUCUCAAAAGCACCAUGAAAGUGGUGCUUUUGAGUUUUUAGCCAUUGGAUGGAGAGAUGUGAGGUUGAGAUGAUAGUGGUAGGUGGUGGUAGGUGAUGGUAGGUGGAAUAAUGUUUGAUCUAAGGGCUAUUAGUAAUUAAGGAGUAGAUCCAAGAGUUAGAAACCUAGAAGCACCAAAAGGGUGAUACUUCUAAAAGUAUUCUAGCCUAUAUAUAUAUAUAUAUAUAUAUAGAGUGGGCUGGUAUGCUUUCGUAAGCACGGAGGCCUCCGUGCUUACGAUUUGUUUUCGAUGUUCGGACUUUCGAAUCGACGAUCGGCUCCGUUAGAGUUGAUCUAGAGUAUUUAAAGUACCAAGAAAUUAAAUUUUGCGAUUUUUCGAUAUCAUUUGCCUAGUGAUCGAAGGGGCUCAAAAUCAAUAAUUUUAACGACCGUGGUGAGCCGGUUGCAAGUUUAACGGUGUAGAAAUAUCCAAAUCACGUGAAAUUUUGAUAGAAAAUUCUUUAUACCAUAUAAAACAAGAUCAAUAACUUUGAUCUAAAAUUUUAAUGUCAUAUCAUCAUAUUUUGUGAGAUUUUUAUUUUCAGCCGUUGAUUUUGAGCCACUUCGAUCACUCGGCAAAUGAUAUCGAAAAAUCGCAAAAUUUAUUUUCUAGAUACUUCAAAUACUCUAGAUCAAGUCUAACGGAGCCGAUCGUCGAUUUGAAAGUCCCAACAUCGAAAACAAAGUGGAAGCACGGAGCGCUCCGCUCCGUGCUUCCGAAAGCAACCCAGACGCACUCUAUAUAUAU